UACGGGGGGGGCAAGCGUUGUUCGGAAUUACUGGGCGUAAAGGGCUCGUAGGCGGCCAACUAAGUCAGACGUGAAAUCCCUCGGCUUAACCGGGGAACUGCAUCUGAUACUGGAUGGCUUGAGUUCGGGAGAGGGAUGCGGAAUUCCAGGUGUAGCGGUGAAAUGCGUAGAUAUCAGGAGGAACACCGGUGGCGAAGGCGGCAUCCUGGACCGGCACUGACGCUGAGGAGCGAAAGCCAGGGGAGCAGACGGG
rnacentral:rRNA from 1 species